UGGGGAAUUUUGGACAAUGGGCGAAAGCCUGAUCCAGCAAUGCCGCGUGCAGGAAGAAGGCCUUCGGGUUGUAAACUGCUUUUGUACGGAACGAAAAGGCUCUUUCUAAUAAAGAGGGCCCAUGACGGUACCGUAAGAAUAAGCACCGGCUAACUACGUGCCAGCAGCCGCGGUAAUACGUAGGGUGCGAGCGUUAAUCGCAAUUACUGGGCGUAAAGCGUGCGCAGGCGGUUCUAUAAGACAGAUGUGAAAUCCCCGGGCUCAACCUGGGAAUGGCAUUUGUGACUGUAGAGCUAGAGUACGGUAGAGGGGGAUGGAAUUCCGCGUGUAGCAGUGAAAUGCGUAGAUAUGCGGAGGAACACCGAUGGCGAAGGCAAUCCCCUGGACCUGUACUGACGCUCAUGCACGAAAGCGUGGGGAGCAAACAGGAUUAGAUACCCGAGUAGUCCCUGAGCGGGCUGGCAAGGCGCAU
rnacentral:rRNA from 1 species